UACAGAGGUCCCAAGCGUUGUUCGGAUUUACUGGGCGUAAAGGGUGCGUAGGUGGCGGGGUAAGUCUGGUGUGAAAGCUCCGAGCUCAACUCGGAAAAGCAUUGGAAACUAUCCCGCUUGAGGGUCGGAGGGGAGACUGGAAUUCUCGGUGUAGCAGUGAAAUGCGUAGAUAUCGAGAGGAACACCUGCGGCGAAGGCGGGUUGCUGGGCUGACACUGACGCUGACAGCGCGAAAGCUAGGGGAGCGAACGGG
rnacentral:rRNA from 1 species